UACGUAGGGGGCAAGCGUUGUCCGGAAUUAUUGGGCGUAAAGCGAGCGUAGGCGGCCCGAUAAGUCUGCUGUAAAAGUCAACGGCUCAACCGUUGAAAGCCGGUGGAUACUGUCGGGCUAGAGUUCGGAAGAGGCAAGUGGAAUUCCUGGUGUAGCGGUGGAAUGCGCAGAUAUCAGGAGGAACACCUAUAGCGAAGGCAGCUUGCUGGGACGAAACUGACGCUAAGGCUCGAAAGCGUGGGGAGCGAACAGG
rnacentral:rRNA from 1 species